GUGGAGGACAGCGUUCACGUUACUCGCAAUUUGCGAGGACAAACCCGGGAGGGAAGACAGAGCAGGGAGCCUCUGGAUGGCAAGAAAGUCGAUGCACUUUACAGAAUACCAUCAAGCUCCUGGGGGUGACCUUCCAGGCUGACGGAGGAGGGAGAACCAGCUGGGAGGGAGCCCUUCGCCACGUCCAAAAUAAAAUCAGGAGCUGGAGUGCACUGCCC